UACGUAGGUGGCAAGCGUUGUCCGGAUUUAUUGGGUUUAAAGGGUGCGUAGGCGGCUUAAUAAGUCAGUGGUGAAAGCCGAUCGCUUAACGAUCGAACUGCCAUUGAUACUGCUAGGCUUGAGUAUAGUUGAGGUAGGCGGAAUUGACAGUGUAGCGGUGAAAUGCAUAGAUAUUGUCAAGAACACCAAAUUGCGAAGGCAGCUACUAAAAGUAUAACUGACG
rnacentral:rRNA from 1 species